UCCUGGAAAAGUAUUUUCUGGGAGUCAGAGUCAUCACGCCCAACAACAUGAAAGCCUUGUGGUUCUUUAUCAUUCUUGUGGCAGCUCCCAGAUGUGUCCUGUCCCAGGUGCAGCUGAAGGAGUCAGGACCUGGCCUGGUGAAGCCCUCACAGACCCUGUCUCUCACCUGCUCUGCUUCUGGAUUAUCUUUAUCCAGCUAUUAUAUGACCUGGAUCCGGCAGGCUCCAGGAAAGGGGCUGGAGUGGGUUGGCAGGAUAACUAGUAGUGGAAGCACAAAUUAUAACCCAAAUCUUAAGUCCCGAGUCACCAUCAACAAGGACAACUCCAAGAAUGAAGUUUAUUUGAAGCUCAGCAGCCUGAGUCCUGAAGACACAGCCGUGUAUUACUGUGCAACAGACACAGUGAGAGGAAGUCAGGCUGAGCCCAGACAGAAACCUCCCCUGAGUGCACAGGAGGGACUGUGCUGCAGGAGGUGUUUGAGACCACCAGGGGGCGCACAGUGGCCACACGAAGGUGCAGGUGCAGAGAGGGUCUGGAAGAAAUUUCCUAGACUAGCCUGGGUUUCCCUCUUCUUGAUCCACAACAGGUAA